GAAUAUAAAAAAGCAUCAUAAUAAAAUAGAAUAUAAAAAAUAUAAUAGAUAAUAUAAUAGAAGUAGGAGAAGGAGAAGGAAAAGAAAGAAAAGGGAGAUAGAGGACAUUUCAUACAAGUACAAUGAAAUCUCAAACCAAGUGAGUACUAUAAUAGAUUGCUGUUUUAGACAGUUGGUUUGAAACAAACAUAUUGAUGAAAUGAAAUUCCACUCAUGGAUAAUGGAUAAAAGCGAAUAUUAAAUAAAUAAGAGCAAUUUCAAUUGAGAAUCAAAUAUCACUCUGAGGUAUUUCAUUCCUUUUUUUCAAUGAAUCAUUUCAUUAUCAAGUAUCAAUGAUGGAAUGUCUUUCUUGAGGUGCUUAUGUUUUUGUAUGAACAUUAUUAAUUGAGUUUUAGAAUUAUUAAACUUCAUCUUCCAUCUGAUAAAGUAUUCAGCAAAAAAUGAUGCGGCAAAUCGUUUUAUCAGGUGCUGCCUGGAUAAAAUUCGAUAGUACAGCUCAAUGCAUAAUUGCUAUAUCAGUGGAUGAAAAACCACUUUUGCAUAUUAUCAACUGUGAAUCGGCUAAGGAUAUAUGAAAAAAGCUGGAAUCUAUUUACAAAUAAAAAUCUGAUACUAGUAUAUACAUACUAUUGCAGCAAUGGUACAGUUACCAGAAGGAAUCGGACGAUGAUAUUACUAUUCACAUCGUAAAACUCGAGAAUCUUGCACAUCGGCUGCAAACUCUGGUGCGUAGGAAUCAACUCAACCCAACAAAAGAACUCUUACAAAUCUUAUUUCAAGGCUCACCAUUGAGGAAAGAAGGACAGAAACCGAAAAAAGAACAGAAACAUUGCUUUUAUUGCUAAUAAGUAUCAAUAUAAGAAAAAUUUCAAAAAAGGCAACGUUGGAUCAGGCAAUGUCAUUAUUGCCACAAACCAGAGCAUUGAAUCAAGAAAUGCAGAAACCGAAAAGCAGCAAUAUCAAAAAAUAUGCAGGAAAGAAAGCAGAGGCAGUCAUUGAAGCAUGUCUGCAGAAUAUAAUUUAGAAACAUUCAGUGAUGCAUGGCACAUGAAUUCGGAUGCGAUUGAGCACAUAUCAAAUCGUCGCGAAUGAUUCUUGUUAUGUAAAAAAUUUGACACAGUAGAGAAUAUUAAGAUAAGUGAUGGAAAAUAUAUUUAAGCAAUUAGAUCAGGAGAUAUCAAUAUUCUUGCUUUCAAUGGAAAAGAGUAGGUGCGAAAGUAUCUCAGUAAUGUUUUUCAUGUACCAGAACUGAGUUUCAAUCUUUUUUCGCGCGUUUUUUAGCUCUUGACAAAGAACUACGACAAUAUUUCGAUAACAAAAUAUACACAUUUGAAGAAUGGAAAUAUUGUUACAAUGGGAGAAAGAAAAGGUAAGUUAUUUGUAAUGAAAUUUAAAGUCGUUACAGACGAGCAUCAGGCAAAUAUAGCAGUGCGCAAUUCUUUUUUCAAUUCUGGCACAAACGAAUGGCUCAUCAGAAUGUGGAUCAGGUGAAAAAAUUCUAAGAUCCGAGAACAUCAUUUUUAAGGAAGUUUUGCUGCGAAGAUUGCAUUUUAAGGCAACUAUAUUUAUAUAAAAUGCACAGACUAUCAUUUCCAAAAAGUGAUACAAAAUCUGAACGCAUUGGAAAACUCAUCCAUGCAGAUCUUUCAGGUCGAAUGCAAGAAAAUUCUCUUGGAGGAGCUCGAUUUAUCUUAAUGAUGAAAGAUGACUACAGUCACUAAAGAAGCUUAUAUUUUAUCAAAAAUAAAUCAGAGAUAUUACGAUAUCUAGAGGAUUUCUUUAAGAAGACUGAUAAACAUUUAAAAAAAGGAAUCAAAAUCUUCAGAUCGGAUAACGGCCUUGAGUUUACCAAUAAAAAAAUUGAACUAAUACGAUAUGACAUCAGAAAACGAUGACCAUUUACCAUUUACUCCGGAAUGGUUAUGCCGAACGGGAAAACAGAACUGUAGUUGACUUAGCAAGAAUGUCAUUACAUACAGGGAAACUGCAUCAAAAUCAAAAUGUGGGCUGAAGCAGUUAAUUACACUGUUUACACUUUAAAUAGAAUCGGAACCAGUGGGAAGAAAGGAAUAACACAUUGAACUGCGGCUCAAGAAGAGACCGAACAUUUCAAGGCUCAGAACCUUCGGAGAAAAAGUAUAUUUUCAUAUCUCUAAAGAGAAGAGACGAAAAUGGGACAUUAAAGCCGAAAAAGAUGUUUUCGUUGAAUAUGAUGAAAACACAAAAGGAUUCUGAAUUUGGCUUCUUGAAAUAGGACAAAUUAAAAUACAUAGGGAUGUAAGAUUCACAGAUCAGCACUAUGAAAUUAAUUCAAAUGAAUGAAGAAUGAGAUUCAGAAUCAAAAACCAUAAUUUUUGAACAUCAGAAAGACAACACAAUCAAAAUAAAUGUUGAAUCGAAAACCGUUAUUCAGUCGGAAAACAACGAGCAAAUAAAUUCAGAUGAAGAAUCAAACGAUCAAGAAAACAAAAAUCAAUACAAACAAGAUCGACAUUUGAGAGACAGAAAUAAAAUAUGCCGAUCACAUAGGCUCACGUACAGAAAUAUUAUAAUCACAGAACACUAUGAACCGGAAAGCUAUGAUGAUGCAAUGGAAUGCAAUCAAAUGGAAAGAAGCCAUGGAUGACGAAAUUGAUUCUUUAAGAAAAACUCAAACAUGAACAUUAGUAAAUCCGCCAUCAGAUCAUUAAGUCAUAGAUAAUCUAUCAUAGAUGGACUUACAAUUGAAAAUAAAUAGCGAUGGAAGCAACGAUUCAAGGCGAGACUCGUUAUUAAAAGUUUCAAAUAAACUGCUGGAAUUGACUAUCAUGAAACGUUUAGUUCUGUAGUUAAAUUCGAUUCAAUAAGAACUAUCCUAACUAUCACAGCUUCGAAUAAAAUAUAUUUACAGCAAUUUGACGUCAAGACGGCUUUUCUUCACGGAGAACUCGACGAGGUCAUCUACAUGCAGCAACCGAAGAGAUACAAGGAUGGAACCGACCGUGUUUGCAAGUUGAAUCGUAGUUUAUAUGAUCUAAAGCAGGUAUCAAGAUGCUGAAAUUAUCGUUUUAUAGCGGAACUGAAGAAACAUGAUCUCACAUCCACCAGCGCAGAUUAUUGCGUAUUUAUAAAUGGAAACGAUCAGGACCGACUGAUUUUAGCGAUCCAUAUCGAUGAUGGAUUAAUUAGUGCGACCAGUUAUCUAUAAAAAAAUUGUUAGCUGAACUCCGCAAAGAAUUUGAAAUAAUAUCUAAUGAGAUAAAUACAUAUCUAGGAUUACAGAUUAAGCGACUGGUAGAUAAUUUCAUAUUUUUGCAUCAGGAGGCUUACAUCAAGAAAAUUUUGCAACGAUUUCGGAUGGAAAAUGCUAACGCAAUAGCAAUCCCAGCAGACCAAAAUCAACUAUGCAUGGAGUGAGUACAAGCAAAAAUCAGAGUUCCCAUAUCGAUAAGAAUAGGAAGUUUAAUGUACUUGUCAGUGAGCACUAGACCAGACAUUAUAUUUGCAGUAAAGAAAACCAAUAUUUGGAAAAACUCAACAAAAUUCACUGGAAUGCAGUAAAAAGAAUUUUCAAAUAUCUAAAGGGAACAACAAAAUAUAAUAUUCAUUUUUCAACCAAACAGAAUAAUCACAUUAAAGCAUUCAGUAAUGCAGAUUACGGUAGAGACAUUGAAAUCAGGAAGUCUAUUACUGAUUUUUUAUUAAAAUUAGGCGAUUAGCUUAAGAGCUUGUCAACACGACAACGAACAGUAAUUUUAUCGACUGAAGCCGAAUACAUAGCAGCUAGUCAAACUAUGAAAGAGAUCAUAUGGAUGAAAAGUCUGAUUAAUGAUUUAACUAUGUUCAAGAACUUACAACGAUUCUUUAUGUGGAUAACUUGAGCGCAAUCAAAAAUCCAGAAUUUCAUCGAAGUAAGCACAUUGAACGAGAUUUGUACUGUUUAUUAGUACUAUAACUAUUAUGACCAUUCCCAAUUGGUUUAAGAGAUUUAGAACUAGCAAUUUUGACUUGAAAGAUGAAGGCCACAGCAGCCGCCCAGCAGACGGAUAUGGACUUAUCAAGAUCAUGAUUACUGAAACUCUGCGAUAUAGUAUCUACGCAAGAUAGUAGAUACCACUAACAUUUCCAGGAUAACAUAGGUAUAUAAUCAUCUGAUCAAGCGACAUGAAAGAGAUCCUUUUUUAAAGAGACUUAUCAUUGGAGACGAGACUUAGAUUUUGUAUCAAGUGCAUCGCACUUGAUCUAAGAAGAAUAGACUUUCAAAGAAGAUGGAACUUUACUCGAAGAAAAUUCUUUUGUCCAUUUGGCAAAAAACGACCAGAAUUGGUAAACCGACAUCAUUUUUCAUCAUGAUAAUGCAAAAUCGCAUAUUGCAUUGACUGUAAGAGCUGUUACAGUUUGAUUGGUUUUACCGCAUCCUUCAUAGUACCCAGAUCUUAGUUUAUCCGAUUAUUACUUGUUCCUAUCAUUAAAAAAAUUCUCUUUAUGAUAAACAAUUCCAAUCCGUAAUCGAAAUAAAAACUCACCUCGAGAAAUAUUUUACAAGUAAGCUCCAAUAAUUUUGAAAAGAAGAAAUAAUGAGGUUUCCUAAAAGAUGGAAGAAGGUGAGCAGAGCAGAACAUGUAUAAAUUAAUCUUAAAUAACAAAUAUAAAAUAUAACAUUG